AGAAGAGCCAGAAGUUAAUUGAUGUCAGCUGUUUUCCAUUUUGAAGGUGUUUCUUCCUGAAGAACUUACUAGCAAUCUCCUUUCCCCCAAAGCAUAACAGCUGUGCCACAUAAGGUGUCCAAGUUGUUAAUUCCACAUGUUUCCUAUAAAAUUAAAGAUGGUACAGUGUGUUCACACAUCAGAGUAGUGAUGUUCAAUAUCCAUCUAUUGGAGCAAACCAAGCUUAAAUGUAGGCUGCAUAAAACUUGUUCUUAUUCAUUGAUUUCAGAAGCACCGAGAAGGAUUCCUGUCUCCACAGAACAGCCUGUUCAGUGGUACUUCAAACUACUCUCGUGAGUGCAAAGUAAAGCCAUAAUUACGUGCUCCUGGUGAAGCUCAGCUGUAAAGUAUGUGUAACACUAAGAAUGGCAACAUGUUGUCUUAAAGUCACAGUGAAAUACGAAGAAUUACAGCUAGGUCCAUCUGAGAAAAAGGGUGAUCACAGUGUGUAUGAGAGAACAUGAUAGAAUGUACUAGAAAGGAGGAAGGAAGUGAAGAAGUGAAAGCCAAAGACACUUCAUCAGCUUUACAAUUGCACUUAAUAAUGAUGUCACACCUCUUCAGAGAUGUUUCAUUUCCUAUGGCAAGUCCUGUCUAAUCCGCUGGCUGAAGUACAGGGGACAGGGAAGUGGUAAAGGGAAAGAUGGAGUACUAAGGCAUGCAGAGGUUGGAAUCAUGCUGGGGAGACCAGGAAGGGCUCGGUGAUCACCAUUAGAUGGUUCAUGUCAGAAUUUUCCAGAGCCCUAUGGUGUGUUCCAAUGUGGACUGACGCAGGACAGCAGAGGGUGUUUGGUACAUGAUGUGUUUCAGCAAGGAUGUCCCAGGGAAGAAGGGAGUUAGAGGCUGAAACAUACUCAGCUAUCCUGUAUCUAAAUUGCGUGAAAUCAACAAGGUUCCUCCUUCUCACUACCAAUAUUUAUCUUCCUGAUUUAUCUCCCUGUGCCCCAGGAACACAUCCCUCCACCUUUUUUCUGACCCUGCUUUCCAAGAUCACAUCCUGGGUGGUUUCCUUUAUUGCAGUCUUUGAGCUCUAUUUCCUAUUCUGAAAGCAUAAUGCCCAGGAACACAGACUUCACCACUUACCAGAGUUUUAAAACCAACAGCAACAACGACCUUGGGUUGGUUACUUAACUCCUAUGCCUCAGCGUCCUUACAUGUGAGAUGGGGAUAACAAAUGAGUGUGAAGUGUUUAGAAUUGCUUGGUUUGUACAUUAACUUCAGUUUUUAGACAGAGUCUCCUGAACUACCCCUAGAAAGAAUGUAAGGUAUGAAGAGGCAAGAUUUUCAUGCGUUUUCUAGGUGUUAAGCCUAGAAGGGAACAGAAUGCCCUCCUGCCAUUUUAGAAGGGCUACAUUGUCUUGGCAUGUGACUGCCUCAGUGAGGGGUAGCAUUUAGGUGACAAAUAGUUGCAUGUUAAAAACAAAAAAACUUGAUUAUGCUUAAAGUAGUGGUUCUACCAGCAUGUCCCGUGGCAGCGCUGGUUUUGCCCACCACAUUAAAAUUUUUUUUGCCCCAGGGCCAGCACUACCAAGUAGAAUAUGUAUAUGCUUUUAAAGCUGUUAACCAGGGUGGCCUUACAUCAGUAACUGCCAGAGGAAAAGACUGCUGUAAUUAUCAUACAGAAGAAAUACCUGACAAAUUAUCGGAUUCCAGCACAGUGACUCACUUACUCUAACUGAAAACACUGGCUGUCACUGUGAUGACCGGAAUGACAGCUAACAGCAGAUCUCAGGUACAGAGGGCACGCUAUGGGGCAGCUAACUGGAAAUACAAGUAUGGCUGAGAUUCCUGUGGACAUUCUGUGUAGAAGAAUUGCUGAUACUACUCAGAAUGCUACAGUGAGGUCUCCUGGUUGUUGUAUGAUUUUCACUGGUAUAGAUGAAGGACAAGGCCCUCAGGUGUGAAAGUGUGAUCCUCCAGGUUACGGCUGUGAUUUAAAGCCACUGCAACAGGAGUUAAACAAACUGAGUUAACCAGCUUCCUUGAAAAAAAAAGUGAAAAAGAAAUUUGAUUGGACAUUUGAACAGACAGUGGAAACUGCAAUUACAUGCCUGUCUACUGUUUUAUCAAUUGAUUUCAAACCUUCAGAAAUAGAAGUUGGAGUAGUGACGGUUGAAAAUCCUAAAUUCGGGAUUCAUACAGAAGCAGAGAUUGAUGCGCUCACAUUGUUGUUAGUUUACCAAAUCCAUGAUGCCACUUACCGGUGUGUUUGGUAACAUCAAACCAUUAUGGACGUCCCUGGACUGAAAAAG